rnacentral:rRNA from 1 species
GACGAACCGUCCUAACGUUGUUCGGAAUCACUGGGCUUAAAGGGCGCGUAGGCGGCUUGCCAAGUCAGGGGUGAAAUCCUGCAGCUUAACUGUAGAAGGGCCUUUGAUACUGGCGAGCUCGAGGGAGGUAGGGGUAUGUGGAACUUCCGGUGGAGCGGUGAAAUGUGUUGAUAUCGGAAGGAACGCCGGUGGCGAAAGCGAUCCGCUGGACCUCUUCUGACACUGAGGCGCGAAAGCCAGGGGAGCAAACGGG